AUUGAACGCUGGCGGCAGGCCUAACACAUGCAAGUCGAACGGUAACAGGAAGCAGCUUGCUGCUUUGCUGACGAGUGGCGGACGGGUGAGUAAUGUCUGGGAAACUGCCUGAUGGAGGGGGAUAACUACUGGAAACGGUAGCUAAUACCGCAUAACGUCGCAAGACCAACGAGGGGGACCUUAGGGCCACUUGCCAUCGGAUCAGUCCAGAUGGGAUUAGCGAGUUGGUGUGGUAAUGGCUCACCAAGGCUGUCAUCGGUAACGGGUCUGAGAGGACGACCAGUCACACUGGGACUGAGGCACGGCCCAGACUCCUACGGGAGGCAGCAGUGGGGAAUCUUGGACAAUGGGGGCAACCCUGAUCCAGCGAUGCCGCGUGGGUGAAGAAGGCCUUCGGGUUGUAAAGCCCUUUAGGCUGGGACGAAGGGUAUGGGACGAAUAAUCCUGUACUUUGACGGUACCAGCAGAAUAAGCACCGGCAAACUCUGUGCCAGCCGCCGCGGUAA
rnacentral:rRNA from 1 species